GACGAACGCUGGCGGCGUGCCUAAUACAUGCAAGUCGAACGAGAGCGACCGGUGCUUGCACUGGUCAAUCUAGUGGCGAACGGGUGAGUAACACGUGGGUAACCUGCCCAUCAGAGGGGGAUAACAUUCGGAAACGGAUGCUAAAACCGCAUAGGUUCUUUAGUCGCAUGACUGAUGAAGGAAAAGAGGCUUCGGCUUCUGCUGAUGGAUGGACCCGCGGUGCAUUAGCUAGUUGGUGAGGUAACGGCUCACCAAGGCGAUGAUGCAUAGCCGACCUGAGAGGGUGAUCGGCCACAUUGGGACUGAGACACGGCCCAAACUCCUACGGGAGGCAGCAGUAGGGAAUCUUCCGCAAUGGACGCAAGUCUGACGGAGCAACGCCGCGUGAGUGAAGAAGGAUUUCGGUUCGUAAAACUCUGUUGUUAGAGAAGAACAGCGCAUAGAGUA
rnacentral:rRNA from 1 species